GGGGAUGUAGCUCAGAUGGUAGAGUGCUCGCUUAGCAUGAGAGAGGCAGCGGGAUCGAUUCCCAGCAUCUCCA
rnacentral:tRNA from 1 species